rnacentral:rRNA from 1 species
AGCUCCAAUAGCAUAUGCCAAUUUUGUUGCUGUUGAAAAGCUCGUAGUUGGAUCUACCCUGAGGAUGCGGUCUGUCUCAAUGACAUGCACUGUAUUCCGAAGGUAUAACAGUUGGUUUUCCCACGGUGCUCUUCACCGGGUGUCGUGGGUGACUAGCACAUUUACUUUGAAAAAAUUAGAGUGCUCAAAACAGGCGUUUCUGCCUGAAUAGUGGUGCAUGGAAUAAUGGAAUAGGAUCUCGGUUCUAUUUUGUUGGUUUUAGGAGCGCGAGAUAAUGGUUAAUAGAGGCAGACGGGGGCAUUCGUAUUGCAGCGUUAGAGGUGAAAUUCUUGGAUCGCUGCAAGACGAACAACUGCGAAAGCAUUUGCCAAGAAUGUUUUCAUUAAUCAAGAACGAAAGU